AGGCAGAGUCUUUAGGCAAGUCCUUAUGUGUGUUCACCUGCACUGUGGAUUUAAACAUUUUAAAGUACUUAUAAAAUAAUGAUCUUUUUUUAGGGGGAACUUAUACAUGAAAAAUUCACAUUUAACAGGAACAUUUUGGUACUGACAAAACUAAUGUGGAGUUACCCAGAAUGCCUAGCUGUAUUGUUCAUUAGUGCAUAGUGAAGUGUAAAAAGCCGCGUUGCUGAAGGCUGUGAAUCAGGCUGGUCUCAUGACUGCCACAAUUCUCUAUUCACUCUUUGUUUGUUUGCCUGCAGGUUAAAUUUGCUCUCGAUAACAAGUAUAAAAGAAGACCAUCUUCUCCUUUCUAGCAGAGAGACUAUUUACAGUUACAGAACUGCUUUGGUUGAUACAGAAUACUUUAGAUAAACUAAAAGACAGGGGAAAUAGGCAAGCAUUAGAAAAAAAAAGAAAAAAAAAAACCAAUGGCAGACUAUCAGGAAACAGAAUGACAAGAGAAGAUGAGUAAGUGUAAGAAAGAGUUGAGUGAGAGAGAGAGAGAGUUGAGUGAGAGAGAGAGAGAACGGCUGCUCAUCCGCAGGGCCAGCGGAGCCAACGCCUCUCAGCUGGCUCAUAUGGAAAAGAUGCUACAAGAAACCAAAGGCCUGCUGGAGAAGAAGACAGAGACGGAUUCAGAAAGCAAAGCCUGUGGGGACACUAUGGUGUCUGAUCUGGAGCAGAAGGUCCAGCGCAGCAAGCGAGACCGUCGUAACUCUCUCCACCGCACACAGCUGCUGGAGAGUCAGAUGAAGACGGUUCGCGGUGAGCUGGUUGGCACGCUUGACCACCUGCAGGAGCUGCGCAACAUACUGCGACGCUCGCAGCAGAACGCAGAAGAGCGGGACGCAGCCAUGCAAAAACUAGCUGCAGGGCUGAGGAUUCGUUUUGUAAGACCACAGAUUGUGUACAAUGUCUUGUAGCUUUGAGUUGUUUCAUAUGUGAUACCUGCAAGAUCCAACAUUCCUUAAUAUGAAUGCUUUAGUCCUGUAUACUCAGAGACUCAACUGCUUUUAUCGUUUAAUUUAAUAUAUUGUUUAUUCCUUUUACAUGAUCUGCAAUAUUACAUGCUGUUUCAACAUUAAUAUUAAUCCCCAAUUCACCAAGUAAUGCUGGUGUAGAAUGUUUGUGUCUGGAUACUCAUUAAAAUAUCCAUAUGUCCUCCAGGUUGUACUUUAUGAAAAUAAAACAGAAACAUUAUAUCCA
ensembl:lncRNA